GACGAACGCUGGCGGCGUGCUUAACACAUGCAAGUCGAACGAAAAGGCCAUGAGCUUGCGGGUUUCACGAGAGGCGAGCAGGUGAGAGACACGCGUGGAUAAUGCACUUGUCAUUGGGAGAACAUCAGGGAACUGCGGAGAAUAUCCGGGAGGAGCUACUGCUCCGCGUGGGUGGAUAGAGAAAUUCGGCGGUGCGGUAUGGAAUAGAGGCAUAUCCGCUUGUUGGGGCGGUAGGUGGUUACCAAGGCUUUGAAGGGUAGCCUGCCUGAGAGGGUGACCGGCGACACUGGGACUGAGAGACGGCCCAGACUCCUACGGGAGGCGGAAGUGGGGAAUAUUGCACAAGGGGCGGAAGCCUGAUGCAGAAACGCCGCGUGCGGGAUGACGGCCUUAGGGUUGUAAACCGCUUUCGCUCAUGACGAAGCUUUGUGUGACGGUAGUGGGUAAAGAAGCACCGGCUAACUACGUG
rnacentral:rRNA from 1 species